UACGGGGGGGGCAAGCGUUGUUCGGAAUUACUGGGCGUAAAGGGCUCGUAGGCGGCCAACUAAGUCAGACGUGAAAUCCCUCGGCUUAACCGGGGAACUGCAUCUGAUACUGGAUGGCUUGAAUCCGGGAGAGGGAUGCAGAAUUCCAGGUGUAGCGGUGAAAUGCGUAGAUAUCUGGAGGAGUACCGGUGGCGAAGGCGGCAUCCUGGACCGGCAUUGACGCUGAGGAGCGAAAGCCAGGGGAGCAAACGGG
rnacentral:rRNA from 1 species